rnacentral:miRNA from 1 species
UUUUAGUUAUAAGUAUAUCCUGUGGAAUAUUUGGGACAUACUUAUACAAAAA